CUCUCUCUCUCCUUCUCUCCCUCCUUCUUUCUUCUCUUCCUUCUCCUCCUCCUUUUGCUUCUCCAUCUCUUCCCCCUCUUCUCCUCUUCCUCUUUUUCUCCUCUCCGCCACUUCCUUUUCUUCCUCCUCAUUUUCUCCUCCUCUUUCUCUUUCUCCUCCUUCUCCUUCUUUUUCUUCCCCUCCCUCUCCCUCUCCUCUUCAUAUUUACAUUGGACAGGUACCAUUGAAUAGUGAAUAAAGUUCUAGACUUGGAGUCAAGAAGAGUUGGGCUUAAAUUUCAUUUCUGAUACUUACUAGCUGUGUGAAGUUAAGCAAGUCUUAGUCCCUCUGUACCUUAGUUUCCAUGAGCUCCUUGAGAAUAGGGGCUGUCUUCGGCCCUUCUUUGUUUCCCUGGAGCUUAGCAUAGUGCCUGGCACAUAUUAGGUGCCAAUUAUUGAUGACCAAUCACAUAAGCCCUUAAUGAAUGCUUGUUUGGCAGGAUUUGCUCUUAAUUAUAAAAUGAGGGGGCUGGACUCAAGGAUAUCUAAGGAUCCUUUCUGCUUUAGUCCCAUGAUCCUUAUGGAGCUAGAUCUACAGCAUUUGCUCCAUCUACCCAUGUAGUAGUGGAAAGAGUAGUGAAUAGAGCACUGGACAAAAUCAGGGAGCGGCCGAAUUGAAAUCCCAACUCAGCUCCCUCCUAGUGCUGUGUCCCACCUCAUUUUCCUCAUCUGUAAUGUGAAAGUGUUGGACUAGGUGCCUUUAAGGUCCCUUCUAGCUAGAGAGCUAGGAUUCUAUGUGGAAGCGUAUCCAAAAAAGGAUGAGGCGGGUGGGCCCGAUCCGUUCUGGAGAAAGCGAGACAAGUUCUUCGGGACUGUUAUUUCUGUUUCUGGACUUCCGCUAACCAUCCCUCUGAUAUUAUGUUCUAGCUUUUUGCCAGAAAUUCAAGUCAAGUCUCUGGAAGAUAGCUUGUAGACUCCGCCCCCUUCCCUUUUUUGAAAAUUGGAGUAAUAGGGGCAGCUUGGUGGCCAGUGGAUAGAGCAUCAGCCCUGAAGUCAGGAGGACCUGAGUUCAAAUGUGAUCUCAGAUGCUUAACACUUCCUAGCUGUGUGACCCUGGGCAAGUCACUUAAGCAAAAAAAAAAAAAAAAUUGGGGGUGCUAUUUGCCUUUCUCCAGUCCUGAGAUGCCUUGCUCCCAUUCACUGUGAUCUAGCGGAAGUUCAGCAAACUGACUAGUAAAGCCUCCUGGAGAUAGCCUAGGUUUUCGAGCUUCUGGGUCUGGGAACGGCCUUCUGGGAGGUGGCCGAAACGCAGGUUGUUUGCCCACUCCUCCUCCCCCCACCCCACGGGCUGACCGGCAGGACCAGAAGGAGGUCAGAAACUGGAAUGUCCAGUAGCAAGCUUCCCAGAGUGGCUCGCUUAGCUCACUAGAGAAAACCCCCGAGUCCCCCGCUGGGAUGUCAUCGGAGCAGACGGGGAGCUGGGACCCUCAGUCAGUCAGUCAACAAACCCUGCUGAGCGGGGGAACAGAGAAAGGGAAAAGAGGGUCCCUGCCCUUGAGGAGCUCACAGUCUUGGGUGAUAAUGGAUGGAAGGCUCUGGAUGGAAGAGUCAGGAAGGAAGGUGUCUGAAGAGGGGAUGGGAGGCCGGAAACUUGAGGAGUGAGAGCUGUCCAGGCCUGGGGGGCAGGAACAGUCCCUGGUCCUUUGAGGGGAGUUCUGCUGGGUUUUCUCCUUUCCACUUUUCCCGGGUUUUUUCCUGUUUCUUUCUUUCUUUCUGUCUCUCUCCCUCUCUUCCCUCAAAAUCUCUUUUCCAUCUCCUUUUUCUUCUUCCUCUUCUUCUUCCUUCUCUUCUCCCUCCUUUUUUUCUUUCAGUCUCUCUGUGUCUUUGUCUCUUCCUUUCUCUCUGUGUGUCUCUGUUUCUGUUUUUGUCUUUAUUUCUUUUCUGUCUCCCUCUCUUUGUCUUUGUCUCUUCCUUUUGCUCUCUGUCUGUCUCUGUCUCUUUCUUUCUCUAUGUCUCUGUCUCUCCCUCUCUCUCUUGCCCCAGGACCCUUGGUCUCCAUCAGACUCUGUUCCCUCAAUCACUUUUUUGUCCCAUCUUCUCUUCUCCCUCCCCCUCCUCCUCCUUCUCCUUUUUCCUCCUUUUUGUCUCUCUUUUCUCUCCUUUCUGUCUCUUCCUUUCUCUGUCUCUCUGUUUUUGUCUUUGUCUCUCUUUUCUCUCCUCUCCAUCUCUCCCUCUCCCUUUCUCCUUCUCUCUCUCUCUCUGUCUCUCUGUCUCUGUCUCUCUCUCUCUCCUUCCUCUCCUCUUCUCUGUCUCUUGGCCCGGGACCCCUUGGUCUCCCUUCGGGCUCUGUUCCCUGACCCAUCCUCUGCCCCCUCCACUCUUUCCCUCCUUUCUCUCGCCCUCUCUCGGUCCCGUCUCCCUAGGCCAAAGAGCCGGCUGUGCCCACGGGGACAGAGCUGUGGAGGAAAGGUCGCAGUCCUGGGCCCAGGAGGGGAAGUGCCCCACCCCUCCACUUUCCUGGGAGACCAGGCAGCCUGUUGGGUUCGAAGGUCUAGGUCUGGGGGUGGGGGAGGAAGAAAAGGGAGGGGCAGGGAGGGGCAAGCAGGUGGUUAAGGAAGGAAGUUUUGGUUCCAAAGGGGCAGGGGCCCCUCCCUGGGCGGCCCAGGUCUCUUAGCAGGGCCUCUGUCCGUGUGGGGGCUGGGCCUGGGGGUCGGGGGAGGCCCGAGGGCCCUGCCUGGAGCCCAGGGCUUGUGGGGACAGCUAGCCUGGGCUGGGGGGGAGGCCAGUGGUAGGGAGUGUGCCCCCCACGCCCCAGGAGGAGGACCCUGGGUGCGGGAUGGCGUGGCUGCUCCGGGACCCAGGGACUUGCCCCCGUGCAUGGUAGGCGAGUCCCCGUCUGCGAGGGUUUCCUUUGGAGGGGGCAGCCGACCCCUGGCAGCCCCCGGGCCUGUGGCAGGUGUGAGUCAAAGCCGCUGGGGAAGCCUGUAGCCAGUCAUGAGGAAGAGCUGGGCCAGUCAUUGCCAUAUGCCCGGCCCCGGUCACCCAGCCCGGGCAGGCCCAGCCCCAGCUGCAGGGGAGUCAUCGGUGACUCAGGCCCCAGCGGCGGCCACCGUGGCCAGUCCCCCUCCCCCAGCCCCCCCGGCCCUGCCCCUCAAGACCCUCUGAGGUCGGGACUGACGGGCAGAUUCUGCCUGGACGGGGUCAAAGCCGGGGCUCAAGCCGGGGCUCGGGGGGCGUCCGCCUGAGUUUGCCCCUCAGCCCCCCUGGCCCUUUAACUUGGGGGGAGGUGGCGCGGGGAAGAAGGGGGGAGCAGCCGGGCGUCCUGGAAGGGAAGUCAAGUGGGAGGGUGGGGGGCGGGGUGAGGAGCGGCAGCCAGGCUGCGAGAGGGCCACAGCUCAGCAGGGAGCCGGGCCGGGGGUCCAGCUGGGGAGGCCGGGAGCAGGGAAGGCGCAGCCUCCUCCCAAGCCAGCCCGCCUGGAGCAGCAGCCGCCACGUGGAGACUCAGGCUCCCGUAUAUAAACCAGGCCAAGUCCCGCUCGAGCAUGAAUUUCUGCAAACACCCCUGUCAACAUAAACUCAGUCUCCACUAGGUCCCUCCCGACUUCAAGUCCGGCCCACA